rnacentral:rRNA from 1 species
AACGAACGCUGGCGGCAUGCCUAACACAUGCAAGUCGAACGAGACCUUCGGGUCUAGUGGCGCACGGGUGCGUAACGCGUGGGAACCUGCCCUUAGGUUCGGAAUAACUCCCCGAAUGGGGUGCUAAUACCGGAUAAUGUCUUCGGACCAAAGAUUUAUCGCCUUUGGAUGGGCCCGCGUUGGAUUAGCUAGUGGGUAGGGUAAAAGCCUACCAAGGCGACGAUCCAUAGCUGGUUUGAGAGGAUGGUCAGCCACACUGGGACUGGGACACGGCCCAGACUCCUACGGGAGGCAGCAGUGGGGGAUAUUGGACAGUGGGCGAAAGCAUGAUCCAGCACUGCCGCGUGAGUGAUGAAGGUCUUAGGGUUGUAAAGCUCUUUUAACCGGGAUGAUAAUGACGGUACCGGGAGAAUAAGCUCCGGCUAACUCCGUG